rnacentral:rRNA from 1 species
CCUACGGGAGACUGCAGUGUGGAAUAUUGCGCAAUGGGCGAAACCCUGAUGCAGCUACGCCGCGUGAGGGAUGAAGGUCUUCGGAUCGUAAACCUCUGUCAGCAGGGAAGAACGGUCACUGUGCUAAUCAUCAGUGAAUUGACUGUACCUGCAAAGGAAGCACCGGCUAACUCCGGGCCAGCAGCCGCGGUAAUACGGCGGGUGCGAGCGUUAAUCGGAAUUACUGGGCGUAAAGCGAUCGUAGGCGGUAUGUCAAGUCAAGGGUGAAAUCCCCGCGCUCAACGUGGGAACUGCCGUGGAAACUGGCAAACUGGAGUGUGUGAGAGGAUAGUGGAAUUCCAGGUGUAGCAGUGAAAUGCGUAGAUAUCAGGAGGAACAUCAGUGGCGAAGGCGACUAUCUGGCACAUAACUGACGCUGAGGAGCGAAAGCGUGGGUAGCAAACAGGAUUAGAUACCCGAGUAGUC